rnacentral:rRNA from 1 species
UAUCUUGCACAAUGGGCGUAAGCCUGAUGCAGCUUCGCCGCGUGCGCCAUAACGGCCGUCUGGUUGUAAAGCUCUGCCUGCGCUGACGAUAAUGACCGUAAGCGAUGCGGAAGCCAUGGCUAACUACGUGCCAGCAGCCGCGGUAAUACGGAGGUGGCUAGCGUUGUCCGGAAUUACUGGGCGUAAAGAAUGCGUAGGCGGUCUUUUAAGUGGGAUGUGAAAUCCCUGGGCUCAACCCAGGAACUGCAUUCCAAACUGGAAGACUAGAGUGCGGGAGAGGAAAUUGGUAUUCCCAGUGUAGCGGUGAAAUGCGUAGAGAUUGGGAGGAACACCAGUAGCGAAGGCGAAUUUCUGGAACGUAACUGACGCUGAGGCGUGAAAGCGUGGGGAGCAAACAGG